rnacentral:rRNA from 1 species
UAGAGGGUGAGAGCCCCGUACGGUUGAAUGCCUAGCCUCUGUAAAUCUCCUUCGACGAGUCGAGUAGUUUGGGAAUGCUGCUCUAAAUGGGAGGUAAAUGUCUUCUAAAGCUAAAUAUUGGCCAGAGACCGAUAGCGCACAAGUAGAGUGAUCGAAAGAUGAAAAGCACUUUGAAAAGAGGGUUAAAUAGCACGUGAAAUUGUUGAAAGGGAAGGAUUUGUGACCACGACAUUUUUCUGGCGGAUCAUCCGGGGUUCUCUCCGGUGCACUUCGCCCAGUAUAGGCCAGCAUCGGUUUUCGGCGUGGGAUAAAAG